CUACGGGUUGCAGCAGGCGAGAAAACUUUGCAAUGUGCGAAAGCACGACAAGGUUAAUCCGAGUGGUUUCUGCUAAAGGAACCUUUUGUCGGUCCUAGAAACACCGAUGAAUAAGGGGUGGGCAAGUUCUGGUGUCAGGCGCCGCGGUAAAACCAGCACCUCAAGUUGUCAGGAUGAUUAUUGGGCCUAAAGCAUCCGUAGCCGGCUCUGUUAGUUUUCGGUUAAAUCUGUAUGCUCAACAUACAGGCUGCCGGGAAUACUGCAGAGCUAGGGAGUGGGAGAGGUAGACGGUACUCGGUAGGAAGGGGUAAAAUCCUUUGAUCUAUUGAUGACCACCUGUGGCGAAGGCGGUCUACCAGAACACGUCCGACGGUGAGGGAUGAAAGCUGGGGGAGCAAACCGGAUUAGAUACCCCUGUAGUC
rnacentral:rRNA from 1 species